rnacentral:lncRNA from 1 species
CCUGCCCUCCUGACCUUUCCUAGCUGGAUGCCGCGUUCUCCAUCCCUCCCUGGACUUCGCCCACACUUAGGUCCUGCCCAGCACCUGACACAUCACGUGUAGAGUGGAGUCAUGAAGAUCAGAAUUAUCCCAGAAUCCAAGCUCCGGCAGUUGUCUGUCAGGCCUUCUGACCAUGGUGAAAGAUUCCUCAUCCUUCUGUGCUGCGGGUCUGACGUGUGACUUUAACCAGAAGGAGGCCAGCUAUCCUGUUUUACUUAGCUGGUUAUUGAUGGUUCCCUCAAGCCUUUUGGAGGCCGGCAUAGGAUGGAGGAAGAGUAAUGGACUCAAGUCGUGGAAAGUCCUGCAGAGAACCAGACCCACGUGCUGUGCACAGCCAGGACAUGAGGCUGGGCCUCCCUGAGCCAUGAUUGCCCGCCAUGGACAACAUUGCUUCUGUCACCAUAUGAGGAAUAGAGGAAAAAUAUAUGCCAAUUGUGCAUCUUGUUAUAUUUUAGACUCUCAAUAAAUUUAGUCUCCUUUUCUCUUUCCCUCUCUCCCUUUUGAAAGUCGUCAGGACAUAAAUUAUACAUAAAUAAAUUACACGUUAUCCUGGAAACACUCAGACAUGAUG